rnacentral:lncRNA from 1 species
AAGUUUUCAAAAAUGUAAAUCGUAAAAUACAGAUAAGUAAAUUACUUUAAAGUUUUUUUGUGUAAAUACUUUACACCACUGCUGGUAACUAGGUGUGCAGACUGAAUAGAGUCCUAGGCAGCAUACAGACUGGGACUCACCCUGAGCAAUGUUUAGGCAGCGUCUUUAUUUACAAUAUCCUGAAAAGUGGAAACAUACCUGUGUGUAUGGGGGGGUAAUCACAGAUUCACCACAACAACAGUAGCACAGAACAUAUGUUACAAUACAUUACCCUUCUAGGAAUGAUAAUGGAGACAUGUUAUAAUACAUUACUCCUCUAGGAAUGAUAAUGGAGACAUGUUAUAAUACAUUACUCCUCUAGGAAUGAUAAUGAGAUGUUAUAAUACAUUACUCCUCUAGGAAUGAUAUAAUGAGAUAUGUUAUAAUACAUUACUCCUCUAGGAAUGAUAAUGAGAUGUUAUAAUACAUUACUCCUCUAGGAAUGAUAAUGGAGACAUGUUAUAAUACAUUACUCCUCUAGGAAUGAUAAUGAGAUGUUAUAAUACAUUACUCCUCUAGGAAUGAUAUAAUGAGACAUGGACCAGACAACAGCCUCAUCAGUACAACAGGAAGUGAAUUUAACAGAAUCCUCAGUAAACACCCAACUUAUAUAAACCACAAAACAAUCAAUCACAGAAACGCCUCUCCUUGUUCACAGUAAACACAGAGGGUCAUCACCCCCCCCCCCCUAACCUCUGACCCCUAACCUCUAAUACCUGACUGUCUGGUCAUCACCCCCCCCCUAACCUCUGACCCCUAACCUCUAAUACCUGACUGUCUGGUCAUCACCCCCCCCCCCCCCCCUCUAA